CGGGCUGUGGGCCGCUUUGUGGCGCACCUGGCUGGGAGUCAGGGGGCCGCAGGUUCGAGUCCUGUCAGCCCGA
rnacentral:tRNA from 1 species